rnacentral:rRNA from 1 species
UACGUAGGGGGCAAGCGUUGUCCGGAAUCAUUGGGCGUAAAGAGCGUGUAGGCGGCUUGGCAAGUCUGGUGUGAAAUCUUGCGGCUCAACCGCAAGCGGUCACUGGAAACUGCCUCGCUAGAGUCCGGAAGAGGAGAGCGGAAUUCCUGGUGUAGCGGUGGAAUGCGCAGAUAUCAGGAAGAACACCCGUGGCGAAGGCGGCUCUCUGGGACGGUACUGGACGCUGAGACGCGAAAGCGUGGGGAGCGAACAGG